AAUGAACGCUGGCGGCAGGCCUAACACAUGCAAGUCGAACGGAUCCUUCGGGAUUAGUGGCGGACGGGUGAGUAACGCGUGGGAACAUACCCUUUGGUGCGGAAUAGCCUCGGGAAACUGGGAGUAAUACCGUAUGUGGUCGAGAGACGAAAGAUUUAUCGCCAAAGGAUUGGCCCGCGUUGGAUUAGGUAGUUGGUGGGGUAAUGGCCUACCAAGCCGACGAUCCAUAGCUGGUUUGAGAGGAUGAUCAGCCACACUGGGACUGAGACACGGCCCAGACUCCUACGGGAGGCAGCAGUAGGGAAUCUUAGACAAUGGGGGAAACCCUGAUCUAGCCAUGCCGCGUGAUCGAUGAAGGCCUUAGGGUUGUAAAGAUCUUUCAGGUGGGAAGAUAAUGACUGUACCACCAGAAGAAGCCCCGGCUAACUCCGUGCCAGCAGCCGCAGUAACAC
rnacentral:rRNA from 1 species